rnacentral:rRNA from 1 species
GCAUAUCAAUAAGCGGAGAGAAAAGAAACUAACAAGAGAUUCCCCUAGUAACGGCGAGCGAAGCGGGAAGAGCUCAAAUUUGAAAGCUGGCGCCUUCGGCGUCCGCGUUGUAAUCUCGAGACGUGUUUUCCGUGCGGCGCUAUGGACAAGUCCCUUGGAACAGGGCAUCGUAGAGGGUGAAAAUCCCGUACUUGCCAUGGAUGUACCGUGCUUUGUGAUACACGCUCUAAGAGUCGAGUUGUUUGGGAUUGCAGCUCAAAAUGGGUGGUAGACUCCAUCUAAAGCUAAAUAUCGGGGAGAGACCGAUAGCGAACAAGUACCGUGAGGGAAAGAUGAAAAGCACUUUGGAAAGAGAGUUAAAAGUACGUGAAAUUGUCGAAAGGGAAGCGCUUGAAGUCAGCCAUGCUGCGCGGACUCAGCCCGGCUGAUGCCUGGUGUAUUUCCCAGCAGCAAGUCAGCAUGGAUUUGGGUCGCCGGAGAAGGGCACGAGGAAUGUGGCACUUCGUGUGUGUUAAGCCUCGUGCUGGAUACGGCGAGCUGGAUCCAGGAACGCAGUGUGCCUCUGGCGGGUCUUCGGACACCUUCACACUUAGGAUGCUGGCGUAAUGGCUUUAAGCGGCCCGUCUUGAAACACGGACC